GUGGUGAUGAUGAAGAAGACGAUGAAAGAUGAGAACAC
rnacentral:sRNA from 1 species